rnacentral:misc_RNA from 1 species
ACCGGUACUCCCAGUCGCGCUCCUCGAUCCACUGAAGCUCUUUUUCGUUCGAUCCCCAGAAAGGAUCCGGAAUUCGCUUGUGCCUGAAAAGGUCGUUAUGAAUGCAGCCGGGAACUCGGGCUUUAAGCCAGUGACGCAACCUCGGCUCAAAGAAGGACCACGAAGGCAGGGGGAGCGUUUCCUUCUGCAUUAGGAGGAUGAGCUAAGACCGGCCUCGGCCAGGCAAAAAGGAAAAAACAGCGGGCCGACGAGGGGCUUUUCUUUUGCGGGGUUGGUGUAUGUGUUUGCGCGUAAGUUAUGUCUCUUUCCUUCUCUCAUUUGGUCGUUGAGCCUGACGACGGUAUUCCUCCGGUGCUCGAUUUCAUCAGUUCCGCAGAGAAAACUCUUCUAAUCAAGCAAUUCACAUUCUCCGAGCCGAGCUUGGUGCAAGCGGUAGCGGAACGCAAGAACGCGGGGGUCGAGGUGCGCGUGAUGCUCAACCCAAAGCGCUCGGGCGGCGAUCGUGCCAAUGAUGAAACGUACGAUUAUUUCAAGAAGAACGGCGUCAAUAUCCGGUGGGCGAACCCGAAGUUCUACGUCACACAUGAGAAGUCCAUCGUCGUGGACGGGAAAGCCGCGCUCAUUGCAACAUUCAAUCUUUGCUUGAAGUACUUUACGCAGACACGCGACUACGGAGUGGUGACGCACGACCCAGCUCGGGUGGCGCAGGUCAUUGAAGGGUUUGAGGCGGACUGGGAGCAUCGCGACUGGCUGCCCGAUCCCGAGACCGGAUUGCUUUGGAGCAAUGCGAAUUCGCGGCUCCGCAUGUCGCAUUUUAUUGAUGCGGCGAAGCACAGGCUCGAUGUCCAGCAUCCGAAGUUUGUCGAUGCCGUCAUUCUCGACCGCCUUCUCGAUGCGGCUGAGCGGGGUGUGCACGUGCGCGUUCUCUGUGGAGGAAAGCAUGGAAUCAGCGAUUGGGACGUUCUCGACACGUUCUCUUCGCUGCGUGUGCUCAAGCGUUUUGGCGUGAAGGUGCAUAAGCAAAAGAAUCUGCGCCUCCAUGCCAAACUCCUGAUUGCCGACAAUUCGCACGCGUUGAUCGGCUCGAUGAAUAUCGAUCGCAGUGCCUUUGACCUGCGCCGGGAAUUGGGCACAACCAUCACGGACGAAGCGAUUGUCAAGCGUCUCACGGAGGUCUUUGAUGCGGAUUGGGAGCUUUCGCACAGCUAUGAUCCGCCGGACCCUCUCGAUCCGUCAAAACACAAGGAAACGGACUUCCCGCACGAUCACGAGCUUAGGCAUGAGUGAGGCGGACCUCCCCCAAGGCCAACGCUUCUCGGGCUUGCGUGGACCUUCAACCACAUCGCUUUGGCUUCCUUUGGCGGUGGUCUGUCCGCAUGGUCGCGCGAGGUGAUCGUGGUCGAGAAGAAGUGGAUGGCUGAGGAGGAAUUUCUCAGCGCAAUUACGAUGUGCCGGAUCUUACCGGGAGCCAAUCAGGUGAAUUUGGCCGUUUUCGUGGGCG